rnacentral:rRNA from 1 species
GCACAACGCGAAGAACCUUACCAAGGCUUGACAUGUAGAAGAACACCGCAGAGAUGCGGGACUCUUUGGACACUUCUAUACAGGUGGUGCAUGGUUGUCGUCAGCUCGUGUCGUGAGAUGUUCGGUUAAGUCCGGCAACGAGCGCAACCCUCGUCCUAUGUUGCCAGCACGUUAUGGUGGGAACUCAUGGGAUACUGCCGUGGUCAACACGGAGGAAGGUGGGGAUGACGUCAAAUCAUCAUGCCCCUUAUGUCUUGAGCUUCACGCAUGCUACAAUGGCCGGUACAAAGGGCUGCGAUACCGUAAGGUGGAGCGAAUCCCAAAAAGCCGGUCUCAGUUCGGAUUGGGGUCUGCAACUCGACCCCAUGAAGUCGGAGUCGCUAGUAAUCGCAGAUCAGCAACGCUGCGGUGAAUACGUUCCCGGGUCUUGUACACACCG